GACGUAGGGGACGAGCGUUGUCCGGAUUCAUUGGGCGUAAAGCGCGCGUAGGCGGUUCGGUAAGUCGGGUGUGAAAACACGAGGCUCAACCUCGUGCGUGCAUCCGAUACUGCCGGACUAGAGGUAGAUAGGGGAGAUCGGAAUUCCUGGUGUAGCGGUGAAAUGCGCAGAUAUCAGGAGGAACACCAGUGGCGAAGGCGGUGCUCUGGGCCGGAACUGACGCUGAGGAGCGAAAGCGUGGGGAGCAAACAGG
rnacentral:rRNA from 1 species